GACGAACGCUGGCGGCGUGCUUAACACAUGCAAGUCGAACGGAAAGGCCCUGCUUGCAGGGUACUCGAGUGGCGAACGGGUGAGUAACACGUGGGUGAUCUGCCCUGCACUUCGGGAUAAGCCUGGGAAACUGGGUCUAAUACCGGAUAGGAGCCAUUUUUAGUGUGAUGGUUGGAAAGUUUUUUCGGUGUAGGAUGAGCUCGCGGCCUAUCAGCUUGUUGGUGGGGUAAUGGCCUACCAAGGCGGCGACGGGUAGCCGGCCUGAGAGGGUGGACGGCCACAGUGGGACUGAGAUACGGCCCAGACGCCUACGGGAGGCAGCAGUGGGGAAUAUUGCACAAUGGGCGCAAGCCUGAUGCAGCGACGCCGCGUGGGGGAUGACGGCCUUCGGGUUGUAAACUCCGUUCGCUAGGGACGAAGCUUUUUGUGACGGUACCUAGAUAAGAAGCACCGGCUAACUACGUG
rnacentral:rRNA from 1 species